ACAAAAGACGACGGAAAUCCACAACAUAAACAACAAAACCUGCAAUCAACAACAAAACGGAUCCCGGUUCCGGACCCAAGCGUACCCGCCCUGCCUGAGAUGACACCACUCCGUCAUCUCCCUCAUGUUGGCCACCGAAUGGACCUACUUCAUCCUGUGUUGGCCAUCGUGUUUCUCCCUCCCCCUACAGCAAUAAUUAAACGGACAUUUUUAUCAUCAGGAAGAAACAAACGAAACAGACUAGGAACACCAUGAUGCUGCAAAAAGGUAACAAGCUCGCCGGAAAAUACUGUGGCAAGAUGCUAGUGCAGAAACAACGCGGGAAUUAUAAAUGUAUCUAGGUAUAUACAUACAUAUAUGUUCAUGUACCGGUAAGUGUAUUAUGAUUGUGAUUAGUGUGUGAUUCUAUGUAAAUGUGAAUAUGUAUCGCUUAAGGACUACCUUGCCUACCUAAAGAGCUCUUUGGGUUAGUGAAGGGGCGAUAUAUUUUUAUGGGUAUGAGUAUAUAUGUAUAAGUAUACAAUAUCUAUUGUAUUUUGUUGAGUGACUUUGCAAUGUUAUUGUUUUUGUGUUGUUCCUAAACUGUUGUGUUUCAAUUUAUACAGAUAUUAUUUUUAUUUACUUUACUUUACU